CUUUAACUGUAUUUCGGUUUAACUUGGUGAUCCUCCUCCCUCUAAACGAGGGAAGGACCUCCUGCUUUCCCCAUCACAGGGAGGGGGCGGAGCAUCCUCUAGAAGCUUGGAAGUGAGCCGUCCCUGGCCAGUCUUGGGGGAGGAGCCGCAUUACAGACAGACUUCGGAGGCCUCCGCCGAAGGGAGAGGAGAAGCUUGGAGCUUAGGUCAAUAUCAGAGAUACACACGACCUGGGGGAUCUGCAUGUGAUGCCAGUCGAGCCCCAGAAAGGCAGCGUGACCACAAAAGUGCCGAGCAGGGAGAAGGCUCUGCUGGACAAGCAGCUGGAGUGAGAAUAAAACCAACCACAUCACAGGGCCAGACUCUCCACGAUCCACGUGACACUGGGUAAGGCUCUUCCCAUUUCAUGAAAUAUUUCACAUUAAACACACGUUGAAAACUUGGGGUAUAAUUUGUUUUGCUUCCUGCUCUGCAGCAAUAUAGCAUGCUAAAUUAAAAGCCACCUUUCAUAUCAAAGUCAUGUUAGGUUCAGAAUUUGAGAUACAAUUCAUUUUGCUCCGUGUUCUGCAGGCGUAAUGGUUUGUAAUUAAAAGUCAUAGCUUCUGGUUUUGAGGAAAUAAUAUCUCAUGUGUUAAAAUCACUGUGAAGAAAUAGUGUAAGAGACUAUUCAGGUAUUUACCAGAGGUUCCAGCCCAUGGCCUGACUCUCCAAUCCUUGACAACUAUGCUAGGUUGUCAUCACCACAUACUAGAUAGCAUAGUUCUAAGGAUUUCUUAAGACCUGCUUAAGGUCUCACAGCCUUCCUUAAAUAGACAUCUGUGUCCUCUCUUGAAUGAGGUUGUUGAUGCUGAACCUCGCUGUCUGCAUCCAUGAUUUCUUUGGUUGCUUUGGAGAGACACUAACAGCACUAACAGCAUAGGAAACACUAAAGCCAGCCUUCCGUCAUGACAACCCAGUGAGAUUUAAAAGGCCCAAAUUAUCCAGGAACACAAAUAACGUCUCUGCCAUUUUCAAAGGCCCUCCCACACACAUUCCCUAUUUAUAGUACAAAAUAGAAAUAGUAAAGGUGGGAUAUUGGGUUUGUGUUAUCAUAAUUCUUCUCAGUUUUUGUUCCUUUCUCCCGAAAGAUGUCCAGUUCUCUGACCUCCUCUGUCUGAAAUGCACUACUUAUUCUUCUGAAUUUGUAUCUUGUCUCCAGUUUCAUUGUCUGUGUUGUUUCUGCUUAGCAGAGUAAACUUAUCUGUUCCCUCUUCUUUUUUGCCGUGUUUUAAUCUAAUCCAGCUGUCACCUAUUGAAAACACGUUAUUCAAGCUACUUUGUAUAGUCUCAGAAGGAUAAGGAGAGGCUAUAGCAGGUAAGAGCCAUUUACUAGCCCUAACACAACAGAGUUAAGGGCCCUUCAAAUACACUGCUUUUCUAGAAAACCAGGCAGCUAGAACCACACAGUGUCCCAGGGAGUUUUCCAGCACAUUGCGUAUCUGUUUAUUGAUUUCUUGUCUAUAUCCAGGUGCACUAACUGAACAUGUGCAAAUUCAGUUUCUCUGUGAUUAAAUUAGGACUUCUUUCCCCUCUUUUCCCAUCCUUCUUGUCUCCUCUGUUUCUCACUACACACUUAGGCAGGUACCAAAAUCU
ensembl:lncRNA